CACAGUGGACACAAACUCAAAUCCUCAUCUCCACUCCUGAUAUAAAUAUGUUCUUCCAUUCAGAUGAUAGACGGUGUAAAUCCAGACAGCUUUCCUCCUGGUUUCGUGUCCCACGUUGCCUUCAGUGUGCUGAGAGCAGAGACAUCAUUUCCAUAGAGAGGAGGCUUUGCAUGGUCAGCUGAUCCUCCAGUGAGAAGGUUUAUAGUCCUGUGAGUUCAACACUGCAGGACUCACAUCUGUCAGUCAGCAGAAAGCACCAUGACUCUCAUCACCAUCCUCAUCUGGACGCUGGCCUGCUGCUGUUUCACAGGAUGCAGCGGUCAGGUGACUGUGACUCAGCCUGCAGUCCAGACAUCUGCUCCAGGAUCCACCGUCACUCUCACCUGUAAAACCAGCAGCAAUGUUUACGCAGAUGGCAAUGGUCAAUAUAUGCUCUGGUAUCAACAGAAAUCUGGACAGCCUCCAAAGCUCCUGAUAAAACUAGCGAGCACACGUGAAUCAGGAACAGAACCUCGGUUUAGUGGCAGUGGAAGCGGCUCUGACUUCUCUAUGACCAUCACUGGACUGAAGGCUGAAGAUGCAGCAGUUUAUUACUGUCAGAGUUACCACAGUGGCCCAGUGUACACUUUUGGUGGAGGAACCAAACUCAUCGUUGACUCGGGCGCCAUGCUCAGGCCCUCCGUCUCUCUGCUGGCCCCCUACUCCUCUGAGCAGCUCUCUGGGGGCUCGCUCACACUGGCCUGCCUGCUGACCGGCUACUCUCCUCAGGGAGCCGUGGUGAGCUGGGAGGUGGACGGCACAGAGGUGACAGAGGGGGUCCUGAGCAGCUCGGAGGAGGAGAAGAGCGGACGCUACAGCAGCAGCAGCAGCCUGAGCCUGAGCCAGGAGCGCUGGAUGUCAGGAGAGCUGUACUCCUGCAGGGUCCUCCAUCAUGGCCACGGCCAGACCCAGUCCCUCCGCAGGAGCCGGUGUGAGGGCUAGAGGGGCCGCUGGAGCCCAGGAGAACACAUGCUGCUCUGAUCAUCAGGAGUUUUAAUGUUUGUAGAGGAAAGUGAAGCUUUGUGUGGCCGAGAACAACACUGCUGUAAAGUGUUGGACAGCAACAAGUCAGAGAGUGAUGUGUGAAGCUCAGCAGAGAUGAGAGUGUGCUUAGUAACUGUCAUGUUGAUGAUUCAGGAUGUUCCUAAUAAAGCUUUCUCUGAUAAAUAACA